ensembl:lncRNA
CACACACGGAAGCAAAAAAGUUUAAGUUAAGUGACGAUCCGUCCCAUGUCGCGUCUCCACAAACCUGCAAGUUAUGAGACAGCUGUCAGUAUUGGAAGAAGCUUUAACGUCUCGUAGAUGAAACUAGCUGGGUUAUUUUGUUUCGUAUAAGUUAUAUUUUAAAACGGCAUUGUAGCCUACCACUCGUGGAAUAUGGAAUUUCAAAGAGAUGAUGGAGUGAUUUGACUCAGAAUUGACAUCAGGCAUUGGCAGCGCGAGAUGUGCAGAACAAGUUAAACUUCUAGCUCAGUAACAUCAACACCUAAGAAAGAAGAUCAGCCCUGACCGUACAGAAGUGGACAGCUGGGCUGUCUGGGACACAUCCAGGAAGCCCCAGAGGCCGGUUUCCCGAAGCCCUCUGGCCCCCUAGGAAGGUUGUGGGUCACCUCCCCCUGUCCUGAUGUCCUGUUGAUCACCACGCUGCACUGAUCACCAAUGCCUGCGGGAUCCACCUGCUGGUCAUCUCCACGUCGUCCUCUUGUGGUGCCUUCCCAUCCAGGUAUUUGAUACACUCUGGUGUGUCUGCUGUAUUGUAUUUGAUACACUCCGGUGUGUCUGCUGUAUGUAUUGUAUUUGAUACACUCUGUGUAUUGAACAGUGAUUUCCCUGACCUCUAGGUUUAAGCCCCUCCUAUAUGGGCGUAUUGGGCGUCUGUGUGGGGGAGUGUUGGAUCCUUGUUAAGUCCUCGCUUCCCUUGCCUUGACAAGCCGGGUUAGGACCAAACCAAUGAUAGACAACUGCUGCUCAGAAAAAAAUAAAAACACACACACACACAAACUUCCUGAAGGAAUAUCGAAUGGGGAUUCUCCUUAUGACCGGGUCAUAAGCCAAGCAACACCUCUGUGUGUGUGUGUGUGUGUGUGUGUGUGUGUGUGUGUGUGUGUGUGUGUGUGUGUGUGUGUGUGUGUGUGUGUGUGUGUGUGUGUGUGUGUGUGUGUGUGUGUGUGUGUGUGUGUCGGAGAGGGGGUGUUAACAGGGCAUACCCAUUUCAGCCCACCCUAUACCACUCACUCCCAUCCUGUUGCCCUUGGCAACAGACGCCUGCCUUGGUGCUCUCCGUGGUUACCACGGCGACAGCAGUUGCGGGGAAUGGUUAAAAAGGAGAGGAGAGACGUGUCAGAGUGACACAGUGACCCACUGAAUUAAAAUCUUUAGAGAGAGAUUGGUGGUGUGUGUGUGUGCGUGUGCGUGUGCGUGUGCAUGCAUGUGUGUGGUGGUGGCGGCAUACGGCAGGAGAGCAGCUGUCAAUCGAAGAUGAAGGAUGAAGGAUGGAUGAAGGAUGAAGGAUGAAGGAUGAAGGAUGAAGGAUGGAUGAAGGAUGAAGGAUGAAGGAUGAAGGAUGGGUGAGUGAGAGAUAGAAGCGGUAGAGAAGAGGCAGCCGCCCCACAGCGGAUGACUCGUGAAAUGGUUUGGGUAUAAAGAGUAUAAAUACAGAAGUUGUGUGUUUUUCUCUCCCAGCAUAGUUUUCUCAUUUGUAUAGGAGUGUGUUCCUGUUUAAUCUGUCAAAGCUUACUCUUUGUUCAACACGCACACACACCAGCAAGUGCACACAGAAACAGACACUAGACUGACCCUCUACCACACACACACACACACACACACACACACACACACACACACACACACACACACACACACACACACACACACACACACACACACACACACAUACACACACACACACACACACACACACACACAAGCCACUCAUGUCAUGUGCCACAUACAUGGCCUCUCAUGUCAAACACCAGACAGGAGUGGUGGAGAGCUGAAAACAACCCCAUAGGCCUGCUGAGUGUGUGUGUGUGUGUGUGUGUGUGUGUGUGUGUGUGUGUGUGUGUGUGUGUGCGUGUGUGUGCGUGUGUGUGUGUGUGUGUGUACAUGGGUUAAAUCUAGCUAACUUACUUCUGUUUUCUUUUUGUUUAAUAC